UGGGGAAUAUUGGACAAUGGGGGCAACCCUGAUCCAGCAAUGCCGCGUGUGUGAAGAAGGUCUUCGGAUUGUAAAGCACUUUCGACGGGGACGAUGAUGACGGUACCCGUAGAAGAAGCCCCGGCUAACUACGUGCCAC
rnacentral:rRNA from 1 species